rnacentral:rRNA from 1 species
GACAGAGGGUGCAAACGUUGUUCGGAAUUACUGGGCGUAAAGCGUGUGUAGGCGGCUUGGCAAGUCGGAUGUGAAAGCCCCGGGCUCAACCCGGGAAGUGCACUCGAUACUGCGAAGCUUGAGUGUGGGAGAGGUAAGCGGAAUUCCUGGUGUAGCGGUGAAAUGCGUAGAUAUCAGGAGGAACACCUGUGGUGUAGACAGCUUACUGGACCAUUUCUGACGCUGAGACACGAAAGCGUGGGUAGCAAACAGG